AUCUCAGGUGGCUCAUUGGGUCAGUGUGUCUGGCUCUUAACCAGAAGAUUGGUGAUUCAAGCCCACCCAGGGAUG
rnacentral:tRNA from 1 species